rnacentral:lncRNA from 1 species
GCAGAUUCCUGAAAGUGUGGUUGACCUAUGCUAGAAUUGACUAUGACGCUGCUUAUUUUCCAGAGUGUUGAGCUGUCAAGAAAAUCCUUGCUGCAAUGCAAACAGGGUCUAUAAAUAAGAAAAUCCAUAGAAGGCCUCGUUGAAAUUUGAAAAAGUUCAGUGUUUCAUACCGUGGAAAGGGAAUGUUGACCAAUUUGAUUCGGGAUGCAUACUUCAAAUGGAAUCGAAUUUCUCGAAUUGGAAUCGAAUUUAUCACGUUUAUAAUUUAUUUUUUAUUUUUUUACAAUUUAUUCAUCCUGAUUCUGCUAUAAUUCUGCUAUAUAUUUUGCCUUUGAUUGAGAUUUUAACUAGGAAUUCUGACGUAUAUUUGGAACAGUCUCAUUCUCAAUUGAAAGAAUCAAUUGAGGAACAUGGCCUCUAGCCUUGGUAAUAUCAGUAACAUUAAUUGUAUUAUAAAGGAUGGGCAAGACAGCAUAAAUCAAUAGAUUCUUUCAAUUGAGGAUGAGACUAUUCUGAAAUUUUUUAACCAUCUCCUUCUUCAGAACAAGGUGGAUUUCAUUGAACAGUUCAAUGAGAAGCUUGUUGUCAAACAAAGGAACAAGAACACCAAAUUUUUUAUGUAAGUUGUUUUUUGUCUUAUAUUUGUAUAUUACUUUGUAGCAUGUUUAGCACGAAGAUUAGUUCGCAAUGAACUGUAUGAAGAAAGAAAGUGGAGUUAACAAACUUAUUCGGUUAUUUCCCAUUUUGCGCACCAAGCAUGCACUUGAUGUUUACAUCCUAUAAAAUCUAUACGAGUCCGCAACUUGGAGUUAAAGUUAGUAGAAGUGAAUUCCUGUUAAAAUAUUUUGUACAUGUACAUAAGGCGUUCCUUUUUCAUUUGCUAUUUUCAUCCGUCCUCCCACAUUUUUCAACACUAAAAUCAUAUGACUUAAUCAAUUUCAGCACGAGUAAAAAAAUAUUACACACGGCAUCAUCUUCAUCAACUUUUCCCCUAUGAUAAUAUACAGGUUUCACUUCUUUUUGUGCUCAUAUUUUUGUUUAGGUUUGGCAAUUAGAUAAGCUUAGCUGCUUUUAUUUCUUUCUCGUCCAUUUCUUUAGUCUAAGUAUAAACAUGUUUCCGUGUAUGCUAUGGGGUUGUGAGACAUGAAUAUUGAAUCAAUUGGAAACAUGCACCAAACAUCUUCACAUCUUGUAAAAUCCAAUAUCUUUUCCUUAUACAAUUUCACAAUUCUUCUGUGUCUUUUGCAUCUCUACCAAAACCGCUCUCUAUAUUUCUCUCCUUGGUUCAGCCAAGUUGAAUGGUGAAUUUUUAUUUAUUUAUUUAUUUAUUUAUUUUUGAAUUUGGCCUGAAAAUUUUAUUCGAGAGUGCACAGGUGUAUGAGACUAUGGAUGUUGGUUAAGUGUGUAUUUAUAUGAGAAAUAGUGAGAGAGAUUGAGAAAUAGUAGUGAUAUGCACCAAACAUGCACUAAACUUGCACUUAUGUUCACAUCAUGUGGAAUCUAUUACCUUUUUUGUACACAGG